UACGUAGGAGGCAAGCGUUGUCCGGAAUUACUGGGCGUAAAGAGCUCGUAGGUGGUUUGUCGCGUUGUUCGUGAAAACUCACAGCUUAACUGUGGGCGUGCGGGCGAUACGGGGCAGACUAGAGUACUGCAGGGGAGACUGGAAUUCCUGGUGUAGCGGUGGAAUGCGCAGAUAUCAGGAGGAACACCGGUGGCGAAGGCGGGGUCUCUGGGCAGUAACUGACGCUGGAGGAGCGAAAGCCGUGGGGAGCGAACAGGAUUAGAACC
rnacentral:rRNA from 1 species